UUGUGCUAAACAAGCUUGUCUUUUUUUCUUUAAUCUAUUUAAAUCCUGCUUCCGGGUACAAGAGCCGGAUAAAUAGACAAUAUUAAAUUUUUUUUGUGUGCCUCAGGAAGCGGUAAAACAACCACACUAUCUCAACUUCAGGCUUUCAACAAUUCAAGCGUGCUAACCUACUAUUAGGGGGACUAUUACGUGAGCAAAUUACCACGCUGCCCGAACGAAUCAAUCUGUAUACCGGCUGAACUGAAACUCAGAUGGGUAAAAAGAAACUAGUAGAGACCCGGUGCUUGAUGAGCGGAUAAUUUAUACACUUUUUGGCAUUGUUUUUAGGUAAUUUCUAGCUGAAAUUGAGGGACCUGAGCAAAACUCUGAAAAGAAGGCUAACAAAGGACUG